rnacentral:tRNA from 1 species
GGGGAUUUAGCCCAGUGGUAGAGCACUUGCCUAGCAAGUGCAAGGCCCUGAGUUCAAUCCUCAACACCCCCC